rnacentral:lncRNA from 1 species
GUCUGUUCUAUGGUCGGGUUGUUGUCUCUUUGACACAUUCCCAAUUUCCAUUUUCAAUUUUAUUUGUAUAAUGAAUAUAAUUUUAUAUGUGAUUUUUAAUAACUUGUUAACAGCAAUCAAUCAAUAUUUGUAUUUUUCGUGCCAGUAUCAUAGUACUGUCUACUGGGCAGGGGACUAACAGUCAAGAAGCAAAGGGAAUUGUGAUGCAACAGAUAUGAUUUGGAAUAUUUUUUUUUAAAGAUAGCACAAGGUCAUGUUUUUUGUGUAUUUGUUAAUGACGCUUUUGUGCUCAAUCCUGAUGAUUUUGGAUGUGUACUGAUUGAUAUUUUAGUCUUCGACACAUGAU